rnacentral:rRNA from 1 species
AGAGUUUGAUCAUGGCUCAGGACGAACGCUGGCGGCGUGCUUAACACAUGCAAGUCGAGCGGUAAGGCUCCUUCGGGAGUACACGAGCGGCGAACGGGUGAGUAACACGUGAGCAAUCUGCCCUUCACACUGGGAUACCCCCCGGAAACGGGAGCUAAUACCGGAUACGACCACUUCGGGCAUCCGAUGGUGGUGGAAAGUUCCGGCGGUGAAGGAUGAGCUCGCGGCCUAUCAGCUUGUUGGUGAGGUAAUGGCUCACCAAGGCUUCGACGGGUAGCCGGCCUGAGAGGGUGACCGGCCACACUGGGACUGAGACACGGCCCAGACUCCUACGGGAGGCAGCAGUGGGGAAUAUUGGACAAUGGGCGAAAGCCUGAUCCAGCAACGCCGCGUGAGGGAUGACGGCCUUCGGGUUGUAAACCUCUUUCAGCAGGGACGAAGCGAAAGUGACGGUACCUGCAGAAGAAGCACCGGCCAACUACGUGCCAGCAGCCGCGGUA